AAAGUUUUACAAAGUUUUUGUUAAAAUUCAUUAUUGUACGAAUACUUUUUACAUUUACUAUAGAUAAUGUAAAAUGGAUGAAGAAGACAUAUCGGAUGGUACGAUUUUGGAUCUUUCGCGUCUUUAUCCUCUCCCUUCAAGAGUACUCUUAAGAAAUUCUUUGCCUAGACAGAGGGAAACAUAGAUACUCCAUCGAAGGUAUUCGUUAAACAAUUCUACGAAGUGACUCGGGAUAGCAGUGAAGUCUCUUUCGCAUACAUAUUUCUAUAUUAAGUCCGGGAUCGGACUUAAUUAAAAAUCGUUCUUGAGCGAUUUAAUUAAUUGUACUACCUCAUCCUUCAUAAAAGGGGGGCAUUCACCGUUUCAGGCGUGAUACGCGAACUAUAUCUUAUUUAUCGUUGCUCUGGGGUAUCCCAAGAAGCUUCAUUAGGAUUGCCCCAUACCUUAACUUAAUUAUUUUUCGAACUUAAAUGAAAACAAGAUCAUAAAAUUCACUGCAACAUGUUGUUCGGUGCAAUAAAGUUACAACAUCAACAACAUGCACAUCUAAUCACAUUCAACAACAAAAAACCCAUUUAUGCUGAAAGUAUUUUAUCAAACAGUAAUUAUCAAGGCAGAUCUACUACUCCAAUGCAUAACGCAUUGUUAUGUACUGUAACAAGGUUUCUAUAAGUUGCUGUUUGUUGAAAAUGUUGUAAGAAAUACAGCAACAGAAGGUGAUAAUAACUUCUUCGUUAUUACUUCAGUGAGAAUAACAUUUUAGAGCUAAAACGUGGUCGUUAUUUAAUGUUAUUGUGUUAAAAAAUGGCCUCUCCGUUCUUUCUUCUCUUGUCAAUCCAUACGUGAGCGCGUGUUUCAAUAUAUUCCUAUUAUAAAUACACAACGGUUAUCUUAGCAAGGCUAAUAUUAUCGUGCCGUUCAAAAAUAAAUUAUCGCCUUAUUGAGAGAAAGAAAAUUUUACAGAACUAAUUGAAUCUAAUUAAAUGCACCCUUACAGAACUAAUUGAAUCUAAUUAAAUGCACCCUUACAGAAAGAAAGAGAGAGAGAGAGAGAGACAGACGGACAGAUAGAAACAAAGACAGAGACGACUUUCAUCUUUACACUUUGCUGUUAAAGGCGAACGAAUUAUCCCCUUGUCUCCUCACUCAAACUCAUCGUCGAUGUAUUUUUAUCAUUAAUUAACAAGGAAGAAAAAAUUACGUAUAACAAAAUGACAUUCUUCACAUGAUUUUAUGUAUAAAACAUAUAUUAACCAUCUAACUUCGUCGCCUUUUAAUGAUUAACUUUCAUUUCCAUAUAACAGCCUUUUUUCUGCUUCCAAUAUUUUCCAACAAGUUAUUUUUUCUCUCAAACUAUGUUUUUACGAUUGUUUAAAAUUUACUUAAGAACUGCUAGGAUGCAACAUUGCACGACUUACUACUUAAUACUUACUGCCCUUCUGUUCCUAAAAUCACGCUAUUCAUCCUAAUUAACCAUUUAAGAAGAAUUUCAACUACCUAUCAAAUUAAUUCUUCAUGAAUCAUUUACCACUAAACACAUCUCUGUCCUUGCUAAAGUUCUCUCUUAUCAACUAAAUAUAAUCCUCAUUUUUUAUUAUCAACCAAAUAAAAUCUUCAUCCUCACUCACUUCUCUUCGAACUUUCGAAGUUUGCAAUAUAUGCGGAUCGUUCUCGCCUUUUUUUGUGGAUAAAGAAGCCAUAUCCACCCAGAAAUUUUUUUUUUCAUUUUUUUUAUAUUUUGUAAGAGUUACAAGUUUUAAUAAUAUACUUUGAAAAUUGCUCAUCAAUAUUUGUAAAAUUGACGAAAUUGUAGAAUUCUAAGUAAAUGCAUUUGAACAUCCAAAUGUUCGAUCUCUACUACCUAAACUGUUUGACCUCUACUCACCUGAAAUAUUGAGUACAGAAAACCCACUCUAGUUAAGAAUUUAAAAUUUCAGUAAUGUUUUAUAAAAAAAUCCGAGGAAAGCUUUUUAAAAUUCUUAUUAAUGUUCAUAAAAAUAUGAAGAAAACGAAGAAAUCAAAAUUUACUUGUUUACGAUAACUGUAUGUUUUAAAAAAAAGAUAUAAACAUAAAGGAUCCAACUCCUUAUUAUCACUCAGUUAAUAAUGUAUGAACUAAUUGAUCGUCCAGAAAAUUCAGUAAGAAAGCUGUUGAUCUAGUAAAUGGUUAUACUAACAGACUUUACGCAUUUAAUCUUCGUUUGUAUAUUUGAAUUUCAAAACAUAUAUAAAAAAAGUAAUAAUGGCAUCGAAAAAAAAUUUCUUGAGAAACGAGAGUUCUUUUUACACAUAUGAAGCAGACCAAAUCUUUGCUUAUAUGUACGAUAACAAUCUGUCAUAUACAUUCACAGUUUUGAUCCAGUCUUACAAUAGGAUUCAGUUGUACACACAAUUUUGACAUAUAUUCAAAACAACAUUCAGCUAGUGACAACCUCCUUUGUCACACUUUUGCUAAGUAUCGCAACUUCAACAUUUCGAGUAAUCACCUAACAAUAAGAAUUUAUUUAAUAGUUCUGAAAUACAGCUCAGAACGUCUAAGAUAGGGUCUAUUCGUCAAUUCUACUGAUGAGUAUUGUAACAAAUGUAGAAUAAAACGUUAUUGUAAUAUCCUAGAUCUUUAAGAUGUAACAUUACAAGUUGUAUAAAUACUCCGCCUCGAUACAAAUAAAAUCGUAUUCAAAUUAAAUUGUUUGCCUUCAGCAUUUUAAAACUGUGCCACUAGUAAUUGAACUUAUUUUUUACACAUAAUCUCUCUACGAACGUUAUUUAUUCUUUCAAGAAAUCUCCAUUUAACAAUACACGAACUAAACGCAAGCAUAAUAGAUUUACAUCAACCACUUUUUCAGAUCAUCUAUGAUCUAAUCAUAAAUAACUUAGUAAGUGCUUAGUUACUGAUUGCAAACUAUUAUUUCAUAGAUUGAAGAAAAAAAUAGCCGAUGAAAACGAAUAAUCGAGAAGUAGAGGGAUCAACGAUAGAAGUUUCUCGUUGAUCCCUCCGUGAUCCGUGCCUCGAAACACGGAUCACGGAGAAAAUUAGGAUUCAAUUCCUUGCACGACAUCUCAACUAUGAUUGAAAAUUAUCGAUAUUUUAUUAUAGUUAUUGUAGAAUAUCUUCAGUAAUUUCACUCUCAUCAUAACAAUUGUUCUUAUAAUUAUAAAAGAUCAACGGAAAAAAUGGAAAUCGACGCUGUUCGUGAAAUGUUCCAAUGAUCUGAACUCAUUUAUAAAGUAAAGUAUAUCAAUUAUAUAGAUGACUGGAAAAUCUAUUAUAUAGAUGACUCGAGAAUAGUAAAUGCUUCUCUGUACACUUUUUUAUUAUUCCUGUUACGUCUUACAGACAUUUAUUUCUUCUUUACUCACACUUAACCCUUAGCGCUCCGUUGGCUCCGCUACGGAGACAUCUGCCAUUUGUUUCGUAACUGCGAAGGCUCCGCUGCGAAGCCAAAUGUUUUUACCAUGUGAUUAUGUUUAAGAUGCUACGUUAAUUAAGAAAAAUGAAGUGCCACUUGACCGGUACCAUAAAAACAAACAGAAAAGGUGUUCCAACAACUCUGAAGAAACCAAAAUUAUAUGAAAAAAGGACUGUCGCAUACAAACAAGGAAAUACAAUGCUCAUAGUUUGAAGGGAUAAGAGGAUAGUAUCGUUAUUGAGCAACUGACAUAAUGCUGAAAUGAUAACUACUAGAAGAUUUAUACGAGGUGGUACAAAAAAAGCCAAGUAGCUGUUGGGUACACAAAGUCGAUGGGUGGAGUUGAUCAAGCUGAUCAAUAUGCCUCUAGUUAUUUUUGAAGAAAUCUCUUAAGUGGUGGCAGAAAUUGUUUUUCUAGGGAAUGGAGAUAUUAAUAAUUAAUUCAAAUACAUUCUCUAUAAAACUGUACAGUACAAUAAAAAUGAGAAAGCAUUUACAGUAUAGAAAUGCAUUGACGCAGUUACAGUAUAAAAAAAUUGUAGUCGAUCAACUUGUAGGAGAUUUUCGAUAGAACAAGAGUUUCUACAUCAAUUUCUGAAAUCAGACUAAACGGAAAACUUCACAUAAUGAGAAAAGAUGCAAAGAGGAACUGCGUUGUGUGUUCUAAAAGGAAACAAAUGGAUGGCAGACGUCAAACAAAUGAUUACUAUGAUUAUUUGCCCAAGUAAACCCAGAAUGCACAUGGGAGAUUGUUUCCAAGGAUAUCACACCAUGCACGGUGAGACAGUAAGCAUACAUCGUAUGGCUGCUGGCUCAAAUAUGCCACCAAUAAAAUUAAAAAUCUCAAAAUUAAGAGACACCUGCUUCAUACGGAACACAUCAAAUAACAAAGUAGAGGAUAUCGACAUGUUCACUAACGCUUCAAUCUAUCGAGGUGAAUCUCUAUCUACUAGCAAAAAGAGGAAAUCUAAUACGUUCAUCAAUCCAAAAUGUGGCUACAAGAUAUACCUACAUACAACUCAUAUAGUAUCUUCUCCGAAACCGAUGCUAUACUAAGGCUUAAGUCAUUGAACCGGUGAUAGAAUUAUUUGUACAACAAGCAGAUAACAACAAUUUUACUUUAAAGCAACUCAAAGAUAAUUAGACAAAAAUCCAAUUAUCAUCCUCGGGUCACUAUAGGAAAGUAAUAAACGAGUUAAAAACACAAAUUAAUUAACCAAAUAACAGCUGCUAUAGAAAACAAGAAAUACUGUACAUGUCUAUGUCUAUUCUUAGACAUAGAAAAAGCCUUUGAUAAGGUAUGGCAUGAAGGCUUAUUGAAAACUAUAAAACAACACUUCCCAGUACCAAUUUAUCUAUUACUUAAAUCAUACCUGAUAUACUUAAUAUACCUAAAUAUUGCAAAAGUUGAAGACUCGUACUCAGCUGUACAUGCAAUAUUUACCGGUGUAUCACAAGGAAGUGUACUAAUUCCGGACCUUUAUACGCUUACACUGCAGAUAUCCCGACAACGCAAAACACUAUAUUCGCCAACGACACUGCAAUCUUAGCCACACACGAAGAUCCAUAAGAAGUAGCUAAAAUCUUGCAAAAUCACAUAAAAUUGCUUGAAAAAUGGCUGAUAGAUCGAAAAAUUAAAGUUAACUACAAUAAAUGUAAUCACAUUACAUUCACUUUUCACAAAAGCAAAGUACCAGCAGUCAUUAUACACAAUAAUGAAAUACCGCAAACAAAAUCAAUCAAAUAUUUGGGUUUGCACCUUAACUCCAAACUAACCAGGAAACAACACAUUCAUAAAAAAAUACUACAAAUUAAACUUAAAAGAAAAGACGUUUACUGGUUAACAGACCGAAAAUCUAAACUAAGUAUAGAAAAUAAGUUACUAAUAUACAAAAUAAUAAUAAAACCUAUUUGGAUGUACAGCAUCUAGUUAUGGGGCACGACAGCUAAAAGGCAUAUUUCCAAAAUGGAAGCUAUGUAAUCAAUAAUAAUCCGCACCAUUGUGGAUGCGCCAUGGUAUGUCAAAAACGAGGAUUUACGUAAAGAUUUAUAAAUUCCAGCAGUAUCAAAGUCUGACAAAUAUAAAUCAAGGAUCUUAAACCAUACAAAGCGGCUAGCCAACACUCUCUACAAUAACAAUACAGUAAGAAGAUUUAAAAAGAAAGGCCUCAAGAUCUAGUUACGCAAGUCUGAAACAACAGGAUAUUGUAAUAGUGCUAUACCAAUUCAGUAAAACAACUCGCUGAAUGUCUCACGUUACAAAUUGCGGGAAAAUUCCUGGGAGUUAUAAAAAAAAAAAAAAAAAAUUUACGUAAAAGUAUCACCGUUGACAUAAUAAAAAGAUACAUCAAAGAAGAUAAGAUUGAAUUUAUUUCGCAAAAAGGAUGACCAAAACUGCUUAACUCACGCGAGGAGAGUAGAAUUCUAUGAAAAGUAAAAAAUAAUCUUGAAUUAAGUGCUCCAAGAUUAACUUCAGAAUUAUUUAAAGAAAGUGGAGAGUGAAAAGAAUUUAAGUACAACUCGUCCGUCAAGUGUUGUAUAAAGGUGGUUAUCAUGGAAAGAUAGCUCGAAAGAAGCCAUUCAUAAAUGACAUGAAUCGAAAGAAACGAAUAACA